rnacentral:rRNA from 1 species
CACGUAGGGGGCGAGCGUUGUCCGGAUUUACUGGGCGUAAAGGGCGCGUAGGCGGCCUGUUAAGUCGGACGUGAAAUCCCUCGGCUCAACCGGGGAACUGCGUCCGAUACUGGUUGGCUUGAAUUCGGGAGAGGGAUGUGGAAUUCCAGGUGUAGCGGUGAAAUGCGUAGAUAUCUGGAGAAACACCGGUGGCGAAGGCGGCAUCCUGGACCGAUAUUGACGCUGAUGCGCGAAAGCUAGGGUAGCAAACGGG